AGAAUCAACGCUGGCGGCGUGCCUAACACAUGCAAGUCGAACGAGAAAGUGGAGCAAUCCAUGAGUAAAGUGGCGCACGGGUGAGUAACACGUGACUAACCUACCCUUGAGUGGGGGAUAACCUAGGGAAACCUGGGCUAAUACCGCAUAAUACCUUCGGGUCAAAGGAGCAAUUCGCUUAAGGAGGGGGUCGCGGCCGAUUAGUUAGUUGGCGGGGUAAUGGCCCACCAAGACGAUGAUCGGUAUCCGGCCUGAGAGGGCGCACGGACACACUGGAACUGAAACACGGUCCAGACUCCUACGGGAGGCAGCAGUGGGGAAUUUUGCGCAAUGGGGGAAACCCUGACGCAGCAACGCCGCGUGGAGGAUGAAGCCCCUUGGGCGUAAACUCCUUUCGAUCGGGACGAUUAUGACGGUACCGGAAGAAGAAGCCCCGGCUAACUUCGUGCCAGCAGCCGC
rnacentral:rRNA from 1 species